GCCUGGGUGGCUCAGUCAGUUGGGCCUCUGACUUGGAGUCAGGUCAUGAUCUCACAGUUCAUGAGUUCAAGUCCCAUGUCAGGCU
rnacentral:tRNA from 1 species